UNUGAAGUUAAAGGCUGUGGCUUAACCAUAGUACGCUUUGGAAACUGUUUAACUUGAGUGCAGAAGGGGAGAGUGGAAUUCCAUGNGUAGCGGUGAAAUGCGUAGAUAUAUGGAGGAACACCGGUGGCGAAAGCGGCACUCUGGUCUGUAACUGACGCUGAGGCUCGAAAGCGUGGGGAGCGAACCGGAUUAGAUACCCUGGUAGUNCACGCCGUAAACGAUGAGUGCUAGGUGUUAGGCCCUUUCCGGGGCUUAGUGCCGCAGCUAACGCAUUAAGCACUCCGCCUGGGGAGUACGACCGCAAGGUUGAAACUCAAAGGAAUUGACGGGGGCCCGCACAAGCGGUGGAGCAUGUGGUUUAAUUCGAAGCAACGCGAAGAACCUUACCAGGUCUUGACAUCCCGAUGCCCGCUCUAGAGAUAGAGUUUUACUUCGGUACAUCGGUGACAGGUGGUGCAUGGUUGUCGUCAGCUCGUGUCGUGAGAUGUUGGGUUAAGUCCCGCAACGAGCGCAACCCUUAUUGUUAGUUGCCAUCAUUCAGUUGGGCACUCUAGCGAGACUGCCGGUAAUAAACCGGAGGAAGGUGGGGAUGACGUCAAAUCAUCAUGCCCCUUAUGACCUGGGCUACACACGUGCUACAAUGGCUGGUACAACGAGUCGCAAGUCGGUGACGGCAAGCUAAUCUCUUAAAGCCAGUCUCAGUUCGGAUUGUAGGCUGCAACUCGCCUACAUGAAGUCGGAAUCGCUAGUAAUCGCGGAUCAGCACGCCGCGGUGAAUACGUUCCCGGGCCUUGUACACACCGCCCGUCACACCACGAGAGUUUGUAACACCCGAAGUC
rnacentral:rRNA from 1 species